UACGAAGGGGGCUAGCGUUGCUCGGAAUUACUGGGCGUAAAGCGCACGUAGGCGGAUUGUUAAGUCAGGGGUGAAAUCCUGGAGCUCAACUCCAGAACUGCCUUUGAUACUGGCGAUCUCGAGUCCGGGAGAGGUGAGUGGAACUGCGAGUGUAGAGGUGAAAUUCGUAGAUAUUCGCAAGAACACCAGUGGCGAAGGCGGCUCACUGGCCCGGUACUGACGCUGAGGUGCGAAAGCGUGGGGAGCAACAGG
rnacentral:rRNA from 1 species